AUACGGCUCAUUAAGGGGAAAUUUUUUUUAAAAAAUUUGAUGUUCCACUUGUCUUAUAUCUUGUUUUACCAAUUGCCAAAAAAAAAAUGGCAAAAGAUUAAUUAAGAGUUCUCAAGACAAAUUAAGCUUCGUGCUACUGCUCUGCUCAUUGCUCAACUCCACAAUUUAGGAAAAAUGAGAAAUAGUAGUAAGAAAAAAACAGAGAUGAAACCCGGUUUUUGUUCGAAAUCAAACAUUACAAAUCAUCAAAGAAACUCCGAAUUCAGUGAUGAUAUUGAGUCAACGAUUGACCCCUUUACCUUUCUUCAAUUGCUCUGAAGUUCAAGAAUUCGACAGUGUGAUGACUCUGCAGUCUUUACAACUCAAGUUCAUUUUUUAAGGAGCUUCUUAUUUGCAGGAAUGGAAAUUUGUUUUACAAUUCAACAAUUUAAGGAGUGACAGCUGAGGGCUUAUGCUGGUGACUUGUUCAACUCUUAAACAGCUGACCGACUGAUGGUUUUUUAAACUUUCCAAGGCUAUGACUUGAGCUUCUCUAUAGUAUAAUUGGCAAAAAGAGUUCGAGACUUGAAUCUUCAAAAUUAAGGACUUGCUGGGGACGUAGAAGUAUUGCACAUGACUCCACCACAGCCUGUGCCUGAUAUUUUGCUAUCUCAGCUCCCGAAGAUUCUUCUUUAGGAGCUCUAUUCUAACUUUCCGCUGAAGCUGUGGAGUUUUUGCCGCGGGAUGUCGAAGUGGUUGAACAUAUCCUGCCAGUGUUCAGACAUGCUAAGAAGCCAGAUUGGUCAUAUCUUCUGAACCAUAUAAACCUUUUUGCAUACUUGAAGACUUGUUUCAGUUGCAAACGAAGUUUAGGCUUUGUGUGAGAGAUUAAUAUUACAUUUUCUUUCUGUCUGAAUGACUGAUUUGUGACUCGUCUAUGUUUAUUUUAUUUGGUUGUAUGGCGAGAACGCUUUGAAUCUUGAGCUUGAUUUUCAUAUGAUGCAGAACUUCUUUCCGUUGAUAACAUUGAAAUGUAUUUGGUUUCGUUUAGUUUUUGUUUA